rnacentral:rRNA from 1 species
AUUGAACGCUGGCGGCAGGCCUAACACAUGCAAGUCGAACGAGUGGCGGACGGGUGAGUAAUGUUUGGGCAACUGCCUGAUGGAGGGGGAUAACUACUGGAAACGGUAGCUAAUACCGCAUACCAUCAGAUGCGCCCAGAGGGGAUUAGCUAGUUGGUGGGGUAACGGCUAACCAAGGCGACGAUCCCUAGCUGGACUGAGAGGAUGACAAGCCGCACUGGAACUAGGAAACGGACCAGACUCCUACGGGAGGCAGCAGUAGGGAAUAUAACACAAUGAGCGCAAACCUGAUGCAGCCAUGCGGCAUGUAUGGAGAAGGCCUUCGGAUUGUAAAGUACUUUCGGCGGGGAGGCGUUACCCGCAGAGGAAGCACCGGCUAACUCCGUGCCAGCAGCCGCGGUAAUAC